GGAAAAUUUAGAAGAAGGAGUGAUAGAAAGUAAAAAGAGUGAGAGAAGAGAAAAAUUGAUGUGCGUCAUAAAUUAAAGCACAUAAAAAAUCAGAGAUGCCAUAUAUACCAUUUUAAGUGCCAUACACCUUUCCCGUACUAAUACUAUUUCUGUAACCACCUUUUUACAAUUAAUCCUAGGCCACUCAAGACAUUCCUUCAACUAUUUGAGGUGCAAAAUCCAUUGGUGCACAAACAAUACCAGAGAGGCAAUAUAUACCAUAAAUGAAAUAUUUGACUUUCAAUCAUUUUGCACAUACUACAUAUUCACCCCCUUAGUUUAAAGACCCAUAAACAAUGAACAAAUUCAGGAAAAAACUCUAGAGUCGGUAACAAAAAAGAAACACGUCAACUUAGAAAACUUGUCACCUGGUUCUUGAUAGGAUAGACGACUCCGUUGUUAUCCUCAUCAAAAUCCUCUAGAAAAUUAUUGGAAGGGAGUACGGGAGCCUUUUGAGAGUGAGUUAUAAAAUUCAGAGCAAACAAU
rnacentral:lncRNA from 1 species